rnacentral:rRNA from 1 species
CAGUCGCCGCGGUAAUACGUAGGGUGCGAGCGUUAAUCGGAAUUACUGGGCGUAAAGCGUGCGCAGGCGGUAGUGUAAGACAGGUGUGAAAUCCCCGGGCUUAACCUGGGAACUGCGCUUGUGACUGCACAGCUAGAGUAUGGCAGAGGGGGGUGGAAUUCCACGUGUAGCAGUGAAAUGCGUAGAGAUGUGGAGGAACACCGAUGGCGAAGGCAGCCCCCUGGGCCAAUACUGACGCUCAUGCACGAAAGCGUGGGGAGCAAACAGGAUUAGAUACCCCCGUAGUCCCUGUCUCUUAUAC